rnacentral:rRNA from 1 species
GAGUUUGAUCUUGGCUCAGAUUGAACGCUGGCGGCAGGCCUAACACAUGCAAGUCGAGCGGUAGAGAGAAGCUUGCUUCUCUUGAGAGCGGCGGACGGGUGAGUAAUGCCUAGGAAUCUGCCUGGUAGUGGGGGAUAACGCUCGGAAACGGACGCUAAUACCGCAUACGUCCUACGGGAGAAAGCAGGGGACCUUCGGGCCUUGCGCUAUCAGAUGAGCCUAGGUCGGAUUAGCUAGUUGGUGAGGUAAUGGCUCACCAAGGCGACGAUCCGUAACUGGUCUGAGAGGAUGAUCAGUCACACUGGAACUGAGACACGGUCCAGACUCUACGGGAGGCAGCAGUGGGGAAUAUUGGACAAUGGGCGAAAGCCUGAUCCAGCCAUGCCGCGUGUGUGAAGAAGGUCUUCGGAUUGUAAAGCACUUUAAGUUGGGAGGAAGGGCAGUAAAUUAAUACUUUGCUGUUUUGACGUUUACCGACAGAAUAAGCACCGGCU